rnacentral:lncRNA from 1 species
ACAAAUCACCUAAAAUGAGAGAAUAUAGAACUAAAUUUUCUUUGAGUUUUGUUUUUGAUAUUAAGUGGGUGUUUGGGAUAGCUUUUAAAAAAAGCUUAUUAGCUUAUUAGCUUUUUAAAAAGCUAAUAAGUUAAAAAAGUGUUUGUCUAUUUAAAAAACGCUUUUUUAAAACAGUUUUAUGGAUGAGAAAAAAUAAAAAUUUCAAAAANGUUUUGUUUUUGAUAUUAAGUGGGUGUUUGGGAUAGCUUUUAAAAAAAGCUUAUUAGCUUAUUAGCUUUUUAAAAAGCUAAUAAGCUAAAAAAGUGUUUAUCUAUUUAAAAAGCGUUUUUUAAAACAGCUUUUUGGAUGAGAAAAAGUAAAGCUUUCAAAAAGCUGGAAAAUCCUAGCUUUUUAGCUUUUUAACCAUUUUACUCCCGAAAAAGCAGUUUUUCGUAUCCAAACACUUUUUAAAACCAGCUUUUCCUAAAAGCAAUAAGCUAAUAAACAUUUUUCUUAAAAAUCACUUUUGACAUAAAAAAACUAACCCAAACAUACCCUAAAUGCUACCACAACUUCUCUAAAACAUU